rnacentral:rRNA from 1 species
UACGGGGGGUGCGAGCGUUGUCCGGAAUCACUGGGCGUAAAGGGCGCGUAGGUGGUCUGAUAAGGGUGUGGUGAAAGCCCGGGGCUCAACCCCGGGUCGGCCGUGCCGACUGUCAGACUAGAGUGCUGUAGGGGCAGGCGGAAUUCCGGGUGUAGCGGUGGAAUGCGUUGAGAUCCGGAGGAAGACCGGUGGCGAAGGCGGCCUGCUGGGCAGAUACUGACACUGAGGCGCGACAGCGUGGGGAGCAAACAGG